AUACGUAGAGGGCGAGCGUUGUCCGGAAUUACUGGGCGUAAAGGGUACGCAGGCGGAUAGGCAAGUCAAAUGUGAAAGUUGCCGGCUCAACUGGCAGAAGUCAUUUGAGACUGUUUAUCUUGAGUGUAGGAGAGGAGAACGGAAUUCCUAGUGUAGCGGUGGAAUGCGUAGAUAUUAGGAAGAACACCAGUGGCGAAGGCGGUUUUCUGGCCUACAACUGACGCUGAGGUACGAAAGCUGGGGCAGCGAACGGGAUUAGAUACCCCGGUAGUCCCAGCUGUAAACGAUGGACACUAGGUGUUGGGGGUUCGACUCCCUCAGUGCCGGAGUUAACGCGCUAAGUGUCCCGCCUGGGGAGUACGGUCGCAAGAUUGAA
rnacentral:rRNA from 1 species